GUCUUGCUGUGUUGCCCAGGCUAGCUCCUCCAAACUCCUGAACUUGAGUGAACACAGCCUCCUAUGCAAAUGUGCCUCUGAAUCCAGACUUACAACAGGCAUCUGUUAGAUGAAUUGUCUGAGAUCACACAGCUGAUAAAAGGAGGGUAGGUACAAGAAAGCAGACCUCCUGACCCAAGUUCAAGCUCAUUCUGUGCACAAAGGCACUCUCCUCCACCAGUGUUUCACAUUGAAAUCAAGAGUGAAGAUUACGCAUGCCACAGCUGAUAUGUAAGAAUCAACGUGCACGACUCUGUGUCCACAUCCUCAGGGCUGGCAGGAGAAGACUAAGAAUGAAAACUACAUACGAAAGACUGGAGACAGAGAUAAACCAUUUUCAAGAAUGUUCAUCUUGGAAUGGAUUAAACACGGGACGGUAGGUCUGUGAGACCCCUGCGGCAGCAGCAGCAGGAGCCGCGGCAGCAGGGGUGGUCCUGCAUGCAGGCUCUGCAGAAUGACCUUUCACCAUGACACUGCGGUCAAUGACUGCCACGUCAGCGGUGGUACUGGCUCACUCACUUCCCUGCAGCACCGUGCACCCGGUAAUGGCUCUUCCUCUCGUGAACCAGCUACCCAGAGACAAACUGCCAAGAAAACACUACCUGGGACUCAACAUCAAGCUUCCAGCCAGCUUGGAACAUUGCCCAACGCAUGCGGGCACCUGUAUUGCGUAGCAGAUCCAGCUGUGGGUUCCUCUGAAGCCAGGCUGCCUGUUGCAGCUGUAACCUGAAGCUGUCAGUAGUGAGACGUGUGCACACUCCUGGUGCAUGUGGCAGUGCUGUGGAUAGAAUGAAGGCUCACAUUUUGAAGUGGUAGGAGGGAGAAGUGAGGAAAUGGACUGCAGUGCUUCCUGUCAAUGACUUUCCCUCCACCACAGAGUGCAAUAGGGGCCAGAAUACACGUGUGCUGUCUCUUGGUCACCAGAGGCAGUGGGAGGUGAGAAUCCAGCUACAGAUGGCAUUGUAUUUGAAAGUAGAAGACCUGGUCCUGCCUCUUCCCACCUGUGACCUUGGGUGCUAUUUUGGGAUCAUCUGGAAUGAGCUUUGCUGCCUGAUUACCACAGUGGAAGUGUAAUGCUAUGGUGAUUAUGAGGUAUUAGGCUGAGUGGAAUAGUUAAUAAAUAACUGGUCUAGAAGACAGAGGCAAUGGAGGAGCCGAGAGACAAGGACGAUAUUUAUUAUUUACUAUGUGGACAGAGCAUUACACUCAAUUGCAUUGUGAUGUUCCAUGUUCUUCUGUAAGGUAGAAUCCCCAUCAGAGAUGAAAGAUUAGUAAAUGGAAUCUCUGAGAAGAAAAGCAUAUGAAGACUGCCAGCUAUGAAGACUAAAAUAAAUCCAUCAUCUUUCCCUGGUACCAUUCUGCUCCAAGCAAGAAAGAUUUUCUUUUAAAAAAAAUGGCUCCAAGGACUAGAAUUUCCUCCCAUUUCCCCCACAGCAUUGGAAACAGAGCUUAGUCAUGCAAUCAAUGGCGAUCGGGAGACUUUUAUGAAAGAAGAGACUCCAGAGGGAGGCUGGAUAUAAGGUAGCCAUCAGGGAGUCAUUUCAGUUUGGUGCUUUGGACCACUUUGACCAUCUUUCCAGACUAAUCUAAAAUCCUCCCUUCUUUGAUAAGCCUUAAUUGACCAUUUCAUCCUACCCUAUUCUGCUCUGAUUUAGAAGCAUUGUCUGUGUAAUGUAUGUAACAAUAACUCAUUUCUGCCCUUGUGAUAGCUAUUCUACAAUUGCCUUGAACUGAGAUUUCA